CCUACGGGAGGCAGCAGUGGGGAAUUUUGGACAAUGGGCGAAAGCCUGAUCCAGCCAUUCCGCGUGAGUGAAGAAGGCCUUCGGGUUGUAAAGCUCUUUCGCAAGGGAAGAAAACUUACCAUCGAAUAAAUGGUGAGGCUGACGGUACCUUGAUAAGAAGCACCGGCUAACUACGUGCCAGCAGCCGCGGUAAUACGUAGGGUGCGAGCGUUAAUCGGAAUUACUGGGCGUAAAGCGUGCGCAGGCGGUUUUGUAAGUCAGAUGUGAAAUCCCCGAGCUCAACUUGGGAACUGCGUUUGAAACUACAAGACUAGAAUAUGUCAGAGGGGGGUAGAAUUCCACGUGUAGCAGUGAAAUGCGUAGAGAUGUGGAGGAAUACCAAUGGCGAAGGCAGCCCCCUGGGAUAAUAUUGACGCUCAUGCACGAAAGCGUGGGGAGCAAACAGGAUUAGAUACCCUGGUAGUCCACGCCCUAAACGAUGUCUACUAGUUGUUGGUGGAGUAAAAUCCAUGAGUAACGCAGCUAACGCGUGAAGUAGACCGCCUGGGGAUACGGUCGCAAGAUUAAAACUCAAAUGAAUUGACGG
rnacentral:rRNA from 1 species